rnacentral:rRNA from 1 species
UACGGAGGGGGCUAGCGUUGUUCGGAAUCACUGGGCGUAAAGCGCGUGUAGGCGGCUUGGCAAGUCGGGUGUGAAAUCCCGAGGCUCAACCUCGGAACUGCACUCGAAACUGCCUGGCUCGAGUCCCGGAGAGGGUGGCGGAAUUCCCGGUGUAGGGGUGAAAUCCGUAGAUAUCGGGAGGAACACCAGUGGCGAAGGCGGCCACCUGGACGGUGACUGACGCUGAGACGCGAAAGCGUGGGGAGCAAACAGG